AUUGAACGCUGGCGGCAGGCCUAACACAUGCAAGUCGAACGAGUGGCGGACGGGUGAGUAAUGUCUGGGAAACUGCCCGAUGGAGGGGGAUAACUACUGGAAACGGUAGCUAAUACCGCAUACCAUCGGAUGUGCCCAGAUGGGAUUAGCUAGUGGGUGGGGUAACGUCUCACCUAGGCGACGAUCCCUAGCUGGUCUGAGAGGAUGACCAGCCACACUGGAACUGAGACACGGUCCAGACUCCUACGGGAGGCAGCAGUGGGGAAUAUUGCACAAUGGGCGCAAGACUGAUGCAGCCAUGCCGCGUGUGUGAAGAAGGCCUUCGGUUUGUAAAGUACGUUCAGCGGGGAGGCGUUACCCGCAGAAGAAGCACCGGCUAACUCCGUGCCAGCAGCCGCGGUAAUUC
rnacentral:rRNA from 1 species